UCCGAUUGAUCCCGUCGGACCCCACUGCUAUCGAGAUGGGACUAAAGUAUGCUAGUCGAACGACCGGAACUAUGUCUGGAAGUGGCACACUGCUCAGUAACACGUAGCUAACCUACCCUUAGGACGUGGAUACCCCCGAGAAAUUGGGGUUAAUCCGCGAUAGAUGUAAUGUCCUGGAAUGGUAUUACGUCUAAAGGUAUUUCAUACAUGUUUGAAAUAUGCCUAAGGAUGGGGCUGCGGCCGAUCAGGCUGUUGGUGAGGUAAUGGCUCACCAAAACCUUUGACCGGUACGGGCCAUGAGAGUGGUAGCCCGGAGAUGGACACUGAGACAAGGGUCCAGGCCCUAAGGGGCGCAGCAACCGCGAAACCUCCACAAUGCACUCACGUGCGAUGGGGCUAUCUCGAGUGCCACCUGAUGAAGGUGGCUUUUCCUUGGUCUUCAAAGCCUUGGGAAUAAGAGGGGGGCAAGACUGGUGUCAGCCGCCGCGGUAACACCAGCCCCUCGAGUGGUGGGGAUGAUUAUUUGGCCUAAAGCGUCCGUAGCCGGCCGAGCAAGUCUUCCGUUAAAUCCAGCGUCUCAAGCGUUGGACCGCGGGAGAUACUACACGGCUAGAGAGUGGGAGAGGUCAGCGGUAUUCUGGGGGUAGGGGCGAAAUCCUUUGAUCCCCGGAGGACCACCAGUGGCGAAGGCUGCUGACUAGAACACGUCUGACGGUCAGGGACGAAAGCUGGGGUAGCGAACCGGAUUAGAUACCCGGGUAGUCCCAGCCGUAAACGAUGCAUGCUAGGUGUUGGGUUGGCCACGAGCCACCCCAGUGCCGCAGGGAAGCCGUUAAGCAUGCCGCCUGGGAAGUACGAUCGCAAGAUUGAAACUUAAAGGAAUUGGCGGGGGAGCACCACCAGGCGUGAAGCCUGCGGUUUAAUUGGAGUCAACGCCGGGAACCUUACCGGGAGCGACAGCAGAAUGAAGGCCAGAUUGAAGAUCUUGCCAGACGAGCUGAGAGGAGGUGCAUGGCCGUCGCCAGUUCGUGCCGUGAGGUGUUCUCUUAAGUGAGAUAACGAACGAGACCCGUGCCACAUGUUGCCACCAGUAUCUAAAGGAUAGCUGAGCACUCUUGUGGGACCGCAGCCGAUAAGGCUGAGGAAGGUACGGGCAACGGCAGGUCAGUAUGCCCCGAAUCUCCCGGGCCACACGCGGGCUGCAAUGGUACAGACAGAGGGCUGCCACCCCGAAAGGGGGAGCCAAUCCCUAAACUGUACCUCAGUUGGGAUCGAGGGUUGCAACCCACCCUCGUGAACAUGGAAUGCCUAGUAACCGCCAGUCAUCAUCUGGCGGUGAAUACGUCCCUGCUCCUUGCACACACUGCCCGUCGAACCACCCGAAUGAGGUUUGGGUGAGGAAUGGUCGAAUGUUGGCCGUUUCGAACCUGGGCCUCGUAAGGAGGGUUAAGUCGUAACAAGGUG
rnacentral:rRNA from 1 species